GACGAACGCUGGCGGCGUGCCUAAUACAUGCAAGUAGAACGCUGAAGAGAGGAGCUUGCUCUUCUUGGAUGAGUUGCGAACGGGUGAGUAACGCGUAGGUAACCUGCCUUGUAGCGGGGGAUAACUAUUGGAAACGAUAGCUAAUACCGCAUAACAAUGGAUGACACAUGUCAUUUAUUUGAAAGGGGCAAUUGUUCCACUACAAGAUGGACCUGCGUUGUAUUAGCUAGUAGGUGAGGUAAUGACUCACCUAGGCGACGAUACAUAGCCGACCUGAGAGGGUGAUCGGCCACACUGGGACUGAGACACGGCCCAGACUCCUACGGGAGGCAGCAGUAGGGAAUCUUCGGCAAUGGGGACAACCCUGACCGAGCAACGCCGCGUGAGUGAAGAAGGUUUUCGGAUCGUAAAGCUCUGUUGUAAGUCAAGAACGGGUGUGAGAGUGGAAAGUUCACACUGUGACGGUAGCUUACCAGAAAGGGACGGCUAACUACGUG
rnacentral:rRNA from 1 species